rnacentral:rRNA from 1 species
GAUAAACGCUGACAGAAUGCUUAACACAUGCAAGUCUAUGAGGAAGUUUAGCUUGCUAAAUGGACUCAUGGCGGACGGGUGAGUAACGCGUAAAGAACUUGCCCUUUAGACUGGGAUAACAGAGGGAAACUUCUGAUAAUACUGGAUAAGUUAGUAUAUCGCAUGAUAUGCAAAUGAAAGCUACGGCACUAAAGGAGAGCUUUGCGUCCUAUUAGCUAGUUGGUAAGGUAAGAGCUUACCAAGGCGAUGAUAGGUAGCCGGCCUGAGAGGGUGGACGGCCACAAGGGGACUGAGAUACGGCCCUUACUCCUACGGGAGGCAGCAGUGGGGAAUAUUGGACAAUGGAGGAAACUCUGAUCCAGCAAUUCUGUGUGUGUGAAGAAGGUUUUAGGACUGUAAAACACUUUUAGUAGGGAAGAAAAAAUGACGGUACCUACAGAAGAAGCAACGGCUAAAUACGUGCCAG